GUGGUACAGCACAGAUUGUGCAGCCUCUCCUUGCCAGACUUCAGGGAUACUUCUCAAGCUUUCUGGAGCCUGCUGUUUUUAAGAGGAGGAGCCGCCCCUGAACCAUUUCUCAGUUCAUAGUCUGUCAGAGCCAUUCAACAGCAUGUGUCUGGAACAACAUGUCCAGAAAGAAUUGCUGAC